GAAGUUUUCCCAUGUAAACUCUACUUUCGAACGAGUCAUAGUGCGUUCGAAAGGGAAGCAGCCACUAGAGGCGUUGCGAUCGAUGUUCGCAGGCUGACGAGGGACGUCAGAGGCCGGGGGAAUAUCUGUCUGUCUUUAUUCCACUCGCAGUCUUCACAAAACAAUAUGAUAAAUUAAUAACGCUUUAAAUAAUUUAAGACUAUAAA